rnacentral:tRNA from 1 species
GAUAAGGUCAGCUAAAAUUAAGCUUUCGGGCCCAUAACCCCGGACAAUGACGGUUAAAACCCCUCCCCUAUCA